rnacentral:rRNA from 1 species
ACAGCAGCAGCCGCGGUAAUACAGAGGGUGCGAGCGUUAAUCGGAUUUACUGGGCGUAAAGCGUGCGUAGGCGGCUUCUUAAGUCGGAUGUGAAAUCCCUGAGCUUAACUUAGGAAUUGCAUUCGAUACUGGGAAGCUAGAGUAUGGGAGAGGAUGGUAGAAUUCCAGGUGUAGCGGUGAAAUGCGUAGAGAUCUGGAGGAAUACCGAUGGCGAAGGCAGCCAUCUGGCCUAAUACUGACGCUGAGGUACGAAAGCAUGGGGAGCAAACAGGAUUAGAGACCCCCGUAGUCCCUGUCUCUUAUAC